AGGAGGAACAGCCCCAGUGGCGGGGCAGCUCUGGAGCCCUGGGUUCAGCUCCGGCAGGAACUCAGUCUGCAGGGCCUGGAGGCUCCGGGGCGGG
rnacentral:pre_miRNA from 1 species